CGUAGGGUGCUAGCGUUGUUCGGAAUCAUUGGGCGUAAAGCGCGUGUAGGUGGUCAAUUAAGUCGGGUGUGAAAGCCCUGGGCUCAACCGAGGAAGUGCAUCCGAAACUGAUUGGCUAGAGGGUGGUAGAGGGAGGUGGAAUUCCUAGUGUAGAGGUGAAAUUCGUAGAUAUUAGGAGGAAUACCGGUGGCGAAGGCGGCCUCCUGGACCAUUCUUGACACUGAGACGCGAAAGCGUGGGGAGCAAACAGGAUUAGAUACCCUGGUAGUCCACGCUGUAAACGAUGGGUACUAGAUGUUGCGGGAAUUGACCCCUGCAGUGUCGACGCUAACGCAUUAAGUACCCCGCCUGGGAAGUACGGCCGCAAGGUUA
rnacentral:rRNA from 1 species